rnacentral:rRNA from 1 species
CCUACGGGUGGCAGCAGUGAGGAAUAUUGGUCAAUGGACGCAAGUCUGAACCAGCCAUGCCGCGUGCAGGAAGAAGGCUCUAUGAGUUGUAAACUGCUUUUGUACGAGGGUAAACGCAGAUACGCGUACCUGUCUGAAAGUAUCGUACGAAUAAGGAUCGGCUAACUCCGUGCCAGCAGCCGCGGUAAUACGGAGGAUUCAAGCGUUAUCCGGAUUUAUUGGGUUUAAAGGGUGCGUAGGCGGUCGGAUAAGUUAGAGGUGAAAUCCCGAGGCUCAACUUCGGAAUUGCAUCUGAUACUGGUCGGCUAGAGAGUAGUUGCGGUAGGCGGAAUGGAGGGUGUAGCGGUGAAAUGCUUAGAGAUCAUACAGAACACCGAUUGCGAAGGCAGCCUACCAAGCUACUUCUGACGUUGAGGCACGAAAGCGUGGGUAGCAAACAGGAUUAGAUACCCGAGUAGUC